GUCCCAAGGCCCAGAGCCACUUCCUCAGAUUUGCUCCGAAUUUUCAGGAGGAGGAGGCCAGCGCCACGGGAACACGCGGUCUCCGUCUGGGCCAAACAGGAUCACAUGUGUGAGGUCGGUGGUGCGUGAAAACCAGAGCCAACUCCGUGGGAAACCAAAGAGCCAGAUGACCCUGCGCACGUCAUCCCAGGGGUCCUCGCCCAUGCCCCCAGAGCUUCCAGUCCCAGCCCCCUGAACCUGAGGCAAAAGAAAAAGUGCUUUCCUUCCAGCAAGUCGUAAAGGGCAGCAACGCUGGGCAUACGCAGGGGCCUCCAGCUGCCUCGCAGAAGCCCGUGGAAGCCCCCGACUCUCCACGGACUCCCGAGCCCUGCUUUCUUCCGGGGCCCCAGGGCCUGCGUCCCUUGGCCAAGCCUUUCCCCAGUCUGUCUACAAAAUCACUCUGGGCCUUAUCUGGGCUCCCUGACAGAACCAUGUUGUGACAGGCAAAUGGGCUCUGGUGUCAGAGACAGGAAGCCCGAAGCUGCAUCUCCCUCUGCCUGGAGAGUGAGGUGAUAAGAGAGCAGAGAGAGGGCGGCCCUGCAGCAGCCAGGGACCUGGGAGCCGGCCCUGACCUCACCUGCCGCUGGGCUCGGGCAGAUGCAGGAGUCGCAGGGUGCUGUGGGCGCCCCAUCUUCCCAUCAGCCCCGCCUGAUGCUGGACUAACAGGAGGGAAAGGAAGGCAUCCCCACGGGGCCUGUGAGGAUGACCUAAACCCCUUUCCAGUGGGAAUAAACGUCAAAGUGCUACUUCUUAAAGGGGCCACCACCUGGCUGGGCAGGUAAGAGGGGCUGGAGCAGGUAGGUCCUGCUGGGGGUGUAGCAGCCAUCCUGGCCCAUCAGGUCCUGUUGUCUUUAGAACAGAGGCCCCGUUACAUAAGCUCCAGCUGACUUGGUAGAAGCUAUGACUAAGAAAACUUUCCAAAGACAGUUGGUGGCCCUCCACCCCCUCUGAGUGGU